AUGGUAGUUCAAGUAUUCCAG
rnacentral:siRNA from 1 species